rnacentral:rRNA from 1 species
UGGGAAUUUUGCGCAAUGGGCGAAAGCCUGACGCAGCGACGCCCCGUGGGUGGUGAAGGCCCUUGGGUUGUAAAGCCCUGUGGGGAGGGAUGAAUAAGGUAUUGCUAAUACCUAUACUGAUGACAGUACCUCCUUAGCAAGCACCGGCUAACUCUGUGCCAGCAGCCGCGGUAAGACAGAGGGUGCGAACGUUGUUCGGAAUUACUGGGCGUAAAGCGCGUGUAGGCGGCCACGCAAGUCGGGUGUGAAAGCCCUGGGCUUAACCUAGGAAGAGCAGUGGAAACUGCAUGGCUCGAGCCCCGGAGAGGAUGGUGGAAUUCUCGGUGUAGAGGUGAAAGUCGUAGAUAUCGAGAGGAACACCGGUGGCGAAGGCGGCCAUCUGGACG